CGCCCGGCUGGAGCCGCCGCGGGCGGGCAGAGGAGCGGGAGCGGGCAGCCAGCGGACGAGCGUUAUUCAUGUGACACGCACCGCUCGACCACGGGAACAGGCCUCAUGAAGCAAAUCUCCCUGGUUCUCUGACAGUGGAUGAUGUCUAUAAAUCUUUGCAAGUCCAUGCUGUUUGCUGAGCAAACAAUGAGGACGGGGUAUCCUCUAGGAUUAUUUGUGCACUGGUAACAGAAAUCACACUGAUAUGAGGCUAACUCAGUACUCAUUCUUUCCUGUUCCUCCAACAGCUCCCCAGACUAUUCUCAGUCUCUUUUUUUACUCCUUUCUCAAAAGGAUUUUAUUUUUGCACUGUCAGUAAAAAUGGCCAUCACACAGUGGUGCCAUUUCGUGGCAGCUGCUUUAAACAUGCUUGCCAUCAGCAGAUCUGAGCUGAAGUUCAUCAAGGAGAGGAACUGCAUUUCCAGUCAUCUCUGUGUGCUCUUCCCAGAACAAACCAGUCUGAAUUUACUGUUCCCACCCAGAAGAGAGGGUCUGGCAGGAGAGGUCCAGUGAGGCCUCAGCAGUGCUUUCAUGUCCCAUCCCCACCACAGGGAAUGCAAAUGUCACCUGUAUGCAGGAGAGCUGGACCUUCCUGCCCAGGUGGCCCUUCAUACAAUGACAGGAUCCUGAAUUCUCAACGCUGCCACUGUACAGCACCAGCAGCAUCUCCAGCCACUUGUGUCCUGCUGGGCAAGUCCAUCACACAGCAUUGCUGCCGGUGAGGCCUAAUCCAGCACAGUAUCACCAUUAGAAAAGGGGAAACACUCCAGGAACAAAGAUGAGGGACAAAUUGAGGAUGAUAUAGUCUGCUUGCUUUAUUCCACUCUCCACUUUCUGGUCCUGAUAUGGCUCUUCUGCUGGCUUCCCCCUGAAUCUGAUCCCUCACACAGUACAGACCAAGGGCAGACCAAGUUUCAGAGGUAUGCAGAAGCAGUAUGAUUUAGGACACAGAUCUAAAAAGAAACUGGAGCAGUUUGGUGCAGAUCUGGCAAUAGUUAGAAGGACUGCAGCAACCCUGUAUUAUUACAGAUCCAUGCACAAAUUUAGCACUUCAGACAGAAACCACUAUCAAGACGAACAGUGGGAACUUGCUUUGUGCGCACAUCUGGAAACAAAGGGUUUAGAUAUAGCACUCGCAGAUUUUUGCUGCCUGUGACCUCCCUCACCAGCACAACAAAUUGUACUUUGUCAAGGAAGAAGUUGGAUUUGUACAUCUGUGUGGCGUGAACACAGUCUCUCUGUCUGCUGGCUUCUCUGCACUGUUGUAUGCAAACAGAAAACAGACCCUUGUAAAAGCCAGCAACAACUUCAGUAGUAAUCACAAGGCAUCACCAGAAGUUUGUACCUACUUAGAGCACAGUGGCCAUGCAGAUCACCUGGAAAGUCCUGUGGCUCUGGAGGUGUACAGCCAGGUGCCUCACCAGCCUCUCUGGGACUUGAAGCAGUUCAUCCCAGCUAGCACUGCACCUUCGUGUCUGCACCGACCAGCACAGACCCUGCCUGAGGCUGGCUGCUCUAUGGCCACCUUGUCACUGGCUUCUUCUUCCCACUCUGAUCCCACGCAAAAUUUAUGUUCUUAGACCCAGACUACAUAUAUUCUGUAUUUUUGCCUUUACUCUAGAGCUGAAUAAUCCAGUGUAGACCAGCUUCAAAAAGCUCUCAUGUGCCCUUAUAACCUGUCAUAUUAAAUACCCUGAGCUGUUAAUGGUGGUUCACAGCAGGGGAUGAAGGACUAUCUUGAUUCAAGCUAUAUGUGCAAAAAAUGUAAGUGCACCACCAAGGCUGCUGGGUAAUUUGCUUCUCCAGCUGGGAGAGAAGGUGGGCAAGGAGAACGGCUCUGGCCAACAUCACUGGUAACCACAGGCACCAGCUGCAUGCUCAGCCUGGCUCUCUGGGAUCUCUGAGAAGUUCUUACUCCGGGGUCUUCCCUUCCCACAGCCCUCUGACAGAUGUGACAGCUGAUAGUUCUUGACUCUUUGUAUAUUUUGGUAUGAAGCUUCAGAAAUUUGGCCAUCCCACUCUGAUGAGUCAGCCCACAUGCAUCUUGAUAACUGGGGAUGUUCAUCGACUCCUGAAGAGACUCCUAAUCUAAUUAGGUUCUCACUAGUCAUAAAUUUGGAAUUGUAACAGAAAAUUUAAAAAACUGAGUGUUUCCAACUGGGUUUCAUAUCCCUGGAAGAUAACUGCAUAAAUGUUUGCAUAAAUGGUCAUCUAAUUAGAUAUGUAUUUACCUGAACCCUUUCCAUUGUGGGAAAAAGAACUUAUAAAAUUGGUCUUGAGUGAUAGCUUGCUUUAGUUUUAAAGCAGUCACCAAAUGAAAAUCCUUUUAAAACCAAUUCAAUCCUAGUUUUCAUUCAACAAAAAAGGGGCAAGCACUUUGAAUACCGAGGGCCAAAUUAAAAAUGAACCUUCUAAUAAAAAGAAGAGAAAAAUAAAAGCCUUUGUCUACGCUCACAAAUAAAAGCAUAAAUGCCCUUGGUUUAACCUUUCAUCUACCCUCUUACUCACAAUAUGUUUACAUUGUCCCCCAAAUACUUGAAGAGGAAACCUUUCCCCCAGGAUCAUGACCUCCUCUCUGUUGUCUGUGGUCCUGCACCCAGAUUCACAUUUCAGGACAGAA